AUGCUCACUUCAGCAGCACAUAUACUGAAACUGGAAUACAGAGAAGAGUAGCAUGGCCCCUGCACAAGAAAAAUAUAUUUUAUGACUGCAUUACUAUAAAGAUGU
ensembl:snRNA U6 U6 spliceosomal RNA